rnacentral:rRNA from 1 species
CCCUUAGAUGUUCUGGGCCGCACGCGUGCUACACUGAGUAAUUCAAUGGGUAAGGGAACGCUAGAGCAUUACCUAAUCUUGAAAUUUGCUCGUGAUGGGGAUCGACGGUUGCAAUUUUCCGUCGUGAACGAGGAAUACCUUGUAGGCGCAUGUCAUCAUCAUGCGCCGAAUACGUCCCUGCCCUUUGUACACACCGCCCGUCGCUCCUACCGAUUGAGUGAUCCGGUGAGGCUCUGGGACCUGGACGGAAAGAGCGAUUCGCUUGUUCUGUUUGGGAAACUUGGUCGAACCUUAUCAUUUAGAGGAAGGGGAAGUCGUAACA